rnacentral:pre_miRNA from 1 species
AGUGGGAUAGCUGGGUCAUUUGGUGGUUCCAUUCCCAAUUUUCUGAGGAAUCUUCAUAUUGCUUUCCAUAGUGGCUGCACCAAUUUGCAGUCUCACUAGCACU